rnacentral:lncRNA from 1 species
CCAUAAAUUGUGAAGUCACACCUGGGCACUACACGGGUCUCCAUCUCCCACUGCACGCUGUUGCAGUAUUCUUUUUUUGGCUUCCUAUUUUUGAUGCAAACAGAUCGGUCUCUUAGAUCCAACAUUUAGUUUCGUGCAACGGACGACCCUUUUCGCCGCACGCCGGUCUUCUUCUUCGAUUUACUUUCUUUCUCUACAU